rnacentral:lncRNA from 1 species
GGUCCUCCUCCUCCAGGAAGGCGGUCCUGAUUCCAUACACCACUGAGCACUGCUUUACCCAACCCUUCGGCUGCUGAGACGGGGUUCCACCUGUUCCUCUAAUGCCCUCUAUAAGCAUCACCCCUGCCCAGGGGCUCAGCCGGCCAACCUUGAUGAAGGAAGGUGAGGAGUGAAUCGAUACUGCCGGCACUUGCCCAGCCCCAGGUGUGCCCAGGACUGGGUGCUGCGGCAGCGCCACAUGCUCACUUCAAUCGACAGACACGACGAGCUUCCCCCACCCCUCGGCUGUCCCCAUGGGGCCACUGCAGGACUUGAAUACGAGUAAGUCCCUGAGAGAGCUUCUGGCUACUCAGUCUGCUGUUUCCUCACUGAUCCGGCGGGGGGGUGGGGGGAAACCGGGUGCCCAAAGGUGCAUUGGACCUGCCUGUCUCCCCAGCUCAGAGCCUGGGGACAUGUGGCACAAGCUACCCCUGCAGGGCUGGGAACCACAGAAGGGCCAGGGAUGUGGUGGACAAGAGAGAGGCGCCUUUGACCACAGCCCGCAGCAUGAAGACAGCAGGAAGAGUGCGAGCCGCUCUCAGGAGGAAGGAGGGGGCCUUGAAUAUUUUCUGAGGCCUCAUUUUACCCGCCGGGUCCUCGGAACAUGAAGCAGCUCAGUUGUAAACUAGUCUGGUGGAGAAGGCCACAAGGCUGGAACUCGGAACCCUGAAAAUCUUCCACCGCUGCCUUGCUGUGUGUCUUGGGACAAGUUGCUCACCCUCUCUGGGCUCAAUAGUAAAAAAUGGAGACGGAGGGACUAGAGGCCUGGCAAGUGUUUCCUUUCAUCUUCCCAGGGAGGGUCAGCCCAUUCCAGGGGGCUGUGGGCAUCUCUGGAGAGACUUACCCCUUUGGCUUCAGUGCACGUCCUGAGGAAGCUGUGUCUGGAUCUGGGGAGCUGCCGGCAGAGGCUGAGCUGGGACAUCUAAGGCCCGUGUGGACGUGCAGCGGCACCUGAGGACUUGGAGGGAGUCUCAAGAUGAGCCUUGGGCCUCCCUUUAAGGCGGCUGCAUCACUGUUUCAUGGGCGGGGCUGGAAGGGGGCACUGGGCCCAUGUCACUUCAUAGUUGCAGUUUGCUGUCAACAGAAGCAUCUUGUUCACUAAAUAAUAAGCUCUAAAUAAAAAUGGCAAUAAUAUCUUCCUCGUUGGUGAC